AUUCUUCUACCUCGCUGAGUUGAAACUUGUAUAAUUUGUAAUUUAUAUAAUUUGUAACAUGCAAUACAGACCUUUAACAAAGAGGGUGGUUCGUUGUGAAUGUAAAAAGGAAGCAUGAGUAGAAGUUCAUUUUUGGGGAAUAUUGGUACUUUGCUGUCACAUGUUCAUUGACAGAUAUAGUAACAGAGAGUGGGGUAUCAUUUUUAUCUCUUUUAACAAAAGAACAUUUGAAGUUAGCAUUCUUCGUUGUUAUCUUUACAUUGAACUGCAACGGUCCA
rnacentral:lncRNA from 1 species